UGGCUAGCCGUGUCUAGUCGAACUGUCGCGAGGGGCACUCUGGAGGCGAGUGGCGAACGGGUGAGUAAUAUAUCGGAACGUACCCUGGAGUGGGGGAUAACGUAGCGAAUGUUACGCUAAUACCGCAUACGAUCUAAGGAUGAAAGCAGGGGACCGCACGGCCUUGUGCUCCUGGAGCGGCCGAUAUCUGAUUAUCUAGUUGGUGGGGUAAAGGCCUACCACGGCAUCGAUCAGUAGCUGGUCUGAGAGGACGACCAGCCACACUGGAACUGACACACGGUCCAGACUCCUACGGGAGGCAGCAGUGGGGAAUUUUGGACAAUGGGCGAAAGCCUGAUCCAGCUAUGCCGCGUGAGUGAAGAAGGCCUUCGGGUUGUAAAGCUCUUUUGUCAGGGAAGAAACGGUGAGGGCUAAUAUCCCUUGCUAAUGACGGUACCUGAAGAAUAAGCACCGGCUAUCUACGUGCCAGCAGCCGCGGUAAUACGUAGGGUGCAAGCGUUAAUCGGAAUUACUGGGCGUAAAGCGUGCGCAGGCGGUUUUGUAAGUCUGUCAUGAAAUCCCCGGGCUCAACCUGGGAAUUGCGAUGGAGACUGCAAGGCUAGAAUCUGGCAGAGGGGGGUAGAAUUCCUCGUGUACCACUGAAAUGCGUAGAGAUGUGGAGGAACACCGAUGGCGAACGCAGCCCCCUGGGUCAAGAUCUGACGCUCAUG
rnacentral:rRNA from 1 species